rnacentral:rRNA from 1 species
UACGUAGGGACCAAGCGUUGUUCGGAUUUACUGGGCGUAAAGGGCGCGUAGGCGGCAUGACAAGUCACUUGUGAAAUCUCCGGGCUUAACUCGGAACGGCCAAGUGAUACUGUCGCGCUAGAGUGCGGAAAGGGCAAUCGGAAUUCUUGGUGUAGCGGUGAAAUGCGUAGAUAUCAAGAGGAACACCUGAGGUGAAGACGGGUUGCUGGGCCGACACUGACGCUGAGUGCGCGAAAGCCAGGGGAGCAAACGGG